UACAGAGGUCUCAAGCGUUGUUCGGAAUUACUGGGCGUAAAGGGCUCGUAGGUGGCCAACUAAGUCGGACGUGAAAUCCCUCGGCUUAACCGGGGAACUGCGUCUGAUACUGGAUGGCUUGAGUUUGGGAGAGGGAUGCGGAAUUCCAGGUGUAGCGGUGAAAUGCGUAGAUAUCUGGAGGAACACCGGUGGCGAAGGCGGCAUCCUGGACCAACACUGACACUGAGGAGCGAAAGCCAGGGGAGCAAACGGG
rnacentral:rRNA from 1 species